rnacentral:tRNA from 1 species
UCCCUGGUGGCUCAGACGGUAAAGCGUCUGUUUGUAAUGCAGGAGACCUGGGUUCGACCCCUGGGUUGGGAA